rnacentral:rRNA from 1 species
UCAGUUCGGAUCGCAGUCUGCAACUCGACUGCGUGAAGGUGGAGUCGCUAGUAAUCGCGGAUCAGCAACGCCGCGGUGAAUGCGUUCCCGGGCCUUGUACACACCGCCCGUCAAGUCAUGAAAGUGGGCAGCACCCGAAGACGGUGGCCUAACCCUUGUGGGGGGAGCCGUCUAAGGUGAGGCUCGUGAUUGGGACUAAGUCGUAACAAGGUACC